CCACAUCGUGCACUGUGGCUGCUAUCAGUGCCGCCACUUCAUCCAGCUGAUCCAGACUGCUCUGAAUAAAAGAGCAGAGAGACAGAGGGAUGUCAGUACUGGAAGCAUACGGAAGUAGGCUGUAGCGUGCAGCACGUCUGCGGCAUGUGUGGAGUUGUGGUAGGAGUUUGAAGAGUGGUAGCUGGCCUCAAUGACCUGCAGCCAGGAGCGCAGCGUGGCCUCCGAGCAGUUCAGGAACUCACACACACCGAAACUCGUGAAGAUCUUCAGUCCGAGCUGCCUCCAGCUCCAGGAUGUUGAACUCCCAGCACUCCUCAUCAUUCAGCAUCUCAGCAAUGGGUGGAGGGACGUCAUUCAGAGUGAUUGGGAUGGCCAGCUGGCUCUGGCUCAUAUCUAGCAGAAGACAUAUUCAUUCCCAGAGAGUCUACGCAGCCCAUCCUGGAGAGAACCCCCCCACCCACAAACAACAGGAAAUGGUUGAAUUAAUUGUAGAAAAACAGUAAGAAACUUUUGGUUCAUCUAAAGCAAAUUAUAACAUCAAAAAACUUUCAUGAAAAGCUUUAGCUCCAUAGUUCCAUUUAACUCUAUAAAAAGAAUGGGAAAAUGUAUAAGUCUGGUAUUUUUCUUUUUUAUUUAUUGUCAACAAACCCCAUGAAAGGACAAAAAGCAACACCGUGUAUGUGUCUCAAUACUUUCUGACUUCUGAACCAAUAUCAUUUUUUUCUUCUUAAGACAUAAUCUUAAAAAAUAGCUCACAAAUAUAAAUUGCACUGUUUUUGAAAAAGGAUUAGUAAUUUCCUAAAACAGCUGGUUACUGUACUUUUUAGCCACCGUUUCUCGAACAGGAGGAAAUAGUGCAUUUGUUGGGGACUAUUUUCAGCAGCGGAUUAAUGCACAUUUGGUGCUGAAGUGAGUAUUUGGAGCAGCAGGACGAUGUAUGUGUUGUAAUGAAGGAAUAUGUCACCCAGUGCAACUGUGAGGCUCAAUGAUGUGUUUUUGGACACCACCGUACUCUAUGGCUCAAAGGAAAAAGAUAUAUCAGACUUUGGAUACACAGACUAUACUUGUUUGUAGGAUCAAUUCAUUGUAGGCUUUGGUAUUUUCAUGGGAUUUGUAGACAAAAAUAAUAAAAAUGCCUAUAAAGUGAAUAAUUUAGCAUACAAAAGUUUUCUGCAGUUAACUGAUCUGAAAACAUUCAACUCUGUCUUCAGAAAUAAACAUCUGCAUGCAAUAACUCA